UACGUAGGGUGCAAGCGUUGUCCGGAAUUAUUGGGCGUAAAGAGCUCGUAGGCGGUCUGUCGCGUCGAAUGUGAAAACCCGGGGCUCAACCCCGGGCCUGCAUUCGAUACGGGCAGACUAGAGUUCGGUAGGGGAGUCUGGAAUUCCUGGUGUAGCGGUGAAAUGUGCAGAUAUCGGGAGGAACACCUGUGGCGAAAGCGGCGCACUGGACCAUAACUGACGCUGAGGGGCGAAAGCGUGGGGAGCGAACAGG
rnacentral:rRNA from 1 species